rnacentral:rRNA from 1 species
UUGCUAUUCGGCGUCGAGCGGCGGACGGGUGAGUAAUGCAUAGGAAGUUGCCCAGUAGAGGGGGAUAACCAUUGGAAACGAUGGCUAAUACCGCAUAACCUCUUCGGAGCAAAGCGGGGGACCUUCGGGCCUCGCGCUACUGGAUACGCCUAUGUGGGAUUAGCUAGUUGGUGAGGUAAUGGCUCACCAAGGCGACGAUCCCUAGCUGGUCUGAGAGGAUGAUCAGCCACACUGGGACUGAGACACGGCCCAGACUCCUACGGGAGGCAGCAGUGGGGAAUAUUGCACAAUGGGCGAAAGCCUGAUGCAGCCAUGCCGCGUGUAUGAAGAAGGCCUUCGGGUUGUAAAGUACUUUCAGUUGUGAGGAAGGGUGUGUAGUUAAUAACUGCGCAUUUUGACGUUAGCAACAGAAGAAGCACCGGCUAACUCCGUGCCAGCAGCCGCGGUAAUACGGAGGGUGCGAGCGUUAAUCGGAAUUACUGGGCGUAAAGCGCAUGCAGGUGGUUUGUUAAGUCAGAUG